UACAGAGGUCUCAAGCGUUGUUCGGAUUCAUUGGGCGUAAAGGGUGCGUAGGCGGCGCGGUAAGUCGGGUGUGAAAUCUCGGAGCUUAACUCCGAAACUGCAUUCGAUACUGCCGUGCUUGAGGACUGGAGAGGAGACUGGAAUUUACGGUGUAGCGGUGAAAUGCGUAGAUAUCGUAAGGAAGACCAGUGGCGAAGGCGGGUUUCUGGACAGUUCCUGACGCUGAGGCACGAAGGCCAGGGGAGCAAACGGG
rnacentral:rRNA from 1 species